UACGUAGGGGGCGAGCGUUGUCCGGAUUUAUUGGGCGUAAAGAGCUCGUAGGCGGUUCGGUAAGUCGAAUGUGAAAUCUCCACGCUCAACGUGGAGGGGUCAUUCGAAACUGCCGUGACUUGAGUACGGCAGGGGAGUGUGGAAUUCCCGGUGUAGCGGUGAAAUGCGCAGAGAUCGGGAGGAACACCCGUAGCGAAGGCGGCACUCUGGGCCGAUACUGACGCUGAGGAGCGAAAGCGUGGGGAGCAAACAGG
rnacentral:rRNA from 1 species